CUGAGAUGAUCCGUAUUUUCCCUCUUCCAAUCACAAUCCUUCCGAUCUCAAUGCCUGAAGAAAACCUAGGUUUACAUCGCGUUCGCAGAAGCCAGAAGCGAAGCCUCCUUCCGAUUGCCAGCAAGCAUUUUUUAGGAUCAUUUUCAUUGGUGGUGGUAAUUCAUGGCGAGGAAAUCCAGUAGCAGUUGCUGCGCCAUCUGCGAGGGUUCCAAUCUCGCGUCAAUUUGUGCGCCCUGCGUUAAUUAUAGAUUAAAUGAGUACAGUGCCUUGAUGAAAUCUCUUAAUAUCGUCCGUCAAUCUUACUAUUCCAAGCUCUUCGAUUUUCUUGAGAAGAAGAGAAUAGCAGAUGAGCAAAAUAAUUGGAUAUCGGAUCAAAAUGAGAAACUCAAGAAAUUGGAGCAGCGGCUAACCUACUUAAAGGCGAAACGUGUAGAAGAUAAGGCUAAGGUUGCUGAACAAUCAAAUGAUCUGAAGUCGAAAUACGAGUCAUUAGAAUUAGCAUUUGAAAUAAUAAAAAAGAAGCGCACAGAUGUAUUGGAUAAAUUCAAUACUGAUCUGAUAUACAACCAGCGGUCAGCUUAUAUGGCUAUCACUUCUGAACUUUUUCAUCGGCAGUCAGUGAUUGUAAAACAGAUUUGCAAGAUCUUCCCUCUGCGCAAGGUGAACUCAGAUGCAAAAAAAGAUGGAUCAAAUAGCAUGUGUGACCAAAUAUGCAAUGCUCGCUUACCUAGAGGAUUGGAUCCACAUUCUGUACCUCCUGAACAGCUUGCAGCUUCUUUAGGGUACAUGAUUCAAUUGCUGAAUCUGAUUGUUCCAAUUUUGGCUGCUCCAGUUCUUCAUAACUCUGGUUUUGCAGGGUCAUGUUCACGGAUAUGGCAACGAGCCUCAUAUUGGGAUGCUUGCCCAUUCUCACAGAGCAAGGAAUAUCCACUUUUCAUACCACGACAGAGUUUCUGCACUUCAGGUGGAGAAAAUUUGUGGUCUAAUAGAAGCUCCUCAAAUUUCGGUGUUGCUUCAGUAGAAUCUGAAAGCAGACCUUAUUUAGAGAGUUCCAGAAGUAGUAGUUUUAAUUAUUCCCUUGCUUCACCACAUUCUCUUGAAAAUCACACGGACCUGCAGAAAGGAAUUUCCCUACUCAAGAAAAGUGUGGCAUGCAUCACAACAUAUUGGUAUAAUAUCUUGGAUCUGGAUAUGCCUUCAGAAGCUUCUACCUUUGAAACAUUUGGUAAAUUGUUGGUUCUUCUAUCAUCUUCAAAGGAAUUACAGUUGAUCAGAAACUCUUUGAAGAUGGCUUGCUCAAGGUGUGAGUUCAAUGCUUUAAUUACCAUGUGAUCUUGGGGACUAUACAUGUCUUUGGAACUCAUUCGGCUUUUUCCCUGUCAACUUUUGUAGUCACCAUAGCUAAGAGAAUGGUUGCAUCUACAAAUAGUUUGCCUAUCUCUGAUUAUUUUGCUCACUGGUAUAUAACUUUGCGAUUUUUGCCUUCAUUGUACAAUAACCAUCUUAUUAGGUAGUGACACUGUGGAAGCAGUCUUAUCGGAUGUUUGCUGUUGACCAUUAUUUCAAUCCUUCUGAGAUGAGGAGAUGCAGAUUAAUGCUGAAGUCAAAUGAUUUAUUAUGCUGUUUUAGCAGGCAAACCAAACGCCGUGGUUUAUACUUUGAUGUGCUCUUCUUCUUAGGAAUCACAGUUUUUUCUUGGGAAGAUUAGGAUGAUUGGUAGCAUGAUUGAAGAAAUCGACCCAGCAAAGCUUAUCCCUUCAUCUCAGAAAAACAAGCUCAGCAGCUGAAGAGUUCUAUGUGGAACGAAAGCUCAACAGUUAGUCCCUCAAGUAGCAUAGUCGAGGGCGAACAGUCCAUACUG